rnacentral:rRNA from 1 species
GACGAACGCUGGCGGCGUGCUUAACACAUGCAAGUCGAACGGAAAGGCCCUGCUUUUGUGGGGUGCUCGAGUGGCGAACGGGUGAGUAACACGUGAGUAACCUGCCCUUGACUUUGGGAUAACUUCAGGAAACUGGGGCUAAUACCGGAUAGGAGCUCCUGCUGCAUGGUGGAGGUUGGAAAGUUUCGGCGGUUGGGGAUGGACUCGCGGCUUAUCAGCUUGUUGGUGGGGUAGUGGCUUACCAAGGCUUUGACGGGUAGCCGGCCUGAGGGUGACCGGCCACAUUGGGACUGAGAUACGGCCCAGACUCCUACGGGAGGCAGCAGUGGGGAAUAUUGCACAAUGGGCGGAAGCCUGAUGCAGCAACGCCGCGUGCGGGAUGACGGCCUUCGGGUUGUAAACCGCUUUCGCCUGUGACGAAGCGUGAGUGACGGUAAUGGGUAAAGAAGCACCGGCUAACUACGUG